CAUUCCGCGUGAGUGAAGAAGGCCUUCGGGUUGUAAAGCUCUUUGUCCGGAACGAAACGGUUAGGCGUGAAUAUCGCCGACUACUGACGGUACCGGAAGAAUAAGCACCGGCUAACUACGUGCCAGCAACGUCGGUGACUGAGCGGGCUGGCAAGGCGCAUA
rnacentral:rRNA from 1 species